rnacentral:snoRNA from 1 species
AAUACAAAUUGUUUUUGUUUAGUUUGUGGACAAAGACUUAGACAAGUACGAAAAACAAAUCCUCUCUUGCAAUCCAGAGCUCAUUGUUCAAGUACGAGUUUUGAUACAGAUAAAAAGGAACAUC